rnacentral:rRNA from 1 species
UACGUAGGGGGCAAGCGUUGUCCGGAAUCAUUGGGCGUAAAGGGUGCGCAGGCGGUGGCCCGCGUGGGCGGUGAAAGCUCCUGGCUCAACUGGGAGAGGGCCGUCCAGACGGGGUCACUUGAGGGGCGGAGAGGGGCGUGGAAUUCCGGGUGGAGCGGUGAAAUGCGUAGAGAUCCGGAGGAACACCGACGGCGAAGGCAGCGCCCUGGCCGCCAUCUGACGCUCAGGCACGAAAGCUGGGGGAGCGAACAGG